UCGAGCGAAGCACUUUGGUCAGAUUCUUCGGAUGAAGGCUUUAGUGACUGACCGGCGGACGGGUGAGUAACGCGUGGGUAACCUGCCUCAUACAGGGGGAUAACAGUUAGAAAUGACUGCUAAUACCGCAUAAGACCACAGAGCCGCAUGGCCCGGUGGUAAAAACUCCGGUGGUAUGAGAUGGACCCGCGUCUGAUUAGCUGGUUGGUGGGGUAACGGCCUACCAAGGCGACGAUCAGUAGCCGACCUGAGAGGGUGACCGGCCACAUUGGGACUGAGACACGGCCCAAACUCCUACGGGAGGCAGCAGUGGGGAAUAUUGCACAAUGGGCGAAAGCCUGAUGCAGCGACGCCGCGUGAAGGAUGAAGUAUUUCGGUAUGUAAACUUCUAUCAGCAGGGAAGAAAAUGACGGUACCUGACUAAGAAGCCCCGGCUAACUACGUGCCAGCAGCCGCGGUAAUACGUAGGGGGCAAGCGUUAUCCGGAUUUACUGGGUGUAAAGGGAGCGUAGACGGCGAUGCAAGCCAGAUGUGAAAGCCCGGGGCUCAACCCCGGGACUGCAUUUGGAACUGUGUGGCUGGAGUGUCGGAGAGGCAAGUGGAAUUCCUAGUGUAGCGGUGAAAUGCGUAGAUAUUAGGAGGAACACCAGUGGCGAAGGCGGCUUGCUGGACGAUGACUGACGUUGAGGCUCGAAAGCGUGGGGAGCAAACAGGAUUAG
rnacentral:rRNA from 1 species